UGAAGGAAAGGACCUACUGGCAAGCAAUUCUCAGGCUCAGUAUUAUUACAAGAAACAUUUGUAUCUUGAAUAGAGGCUCCUGUCAGACUAUAAAAAGGGCAGAUCAAAGAAGGACUAGAAUCCAUAGAAUAAGCCCUAUUAAUGGAAGAAAAUAACGUCACUAAAAAUGGAGGACUGGGGAGUUCCCUGGCGGUCCCAGUGUUUAGGAAUCGGCAGUUUCAACUGUGGUGGCCCAGGUUUGAUCCCUGGUCAGGGAAAUAAGAUUCCACAAGCCAUGCGGCAUGGCCAAAAAAUAAAAUUAAUUAAAAUGGAGGAUGGUACGUGAGACAGGUGAUGGUGAGAUCCCUUUGAAUGUUUUGGAGAACAAGCCUUACAUUUGUCCACAGGCUUAUCACCUUUUAGAGUUGCCGCCAUUUCAAAGAUCUAAGCUCUGUAACUCAAUGAAUUGAGACGUGAUUUAGCCUCAUCAUUCCUUCUCUCCUGGGACUGGGGCCCUUGUCCUCUAUUUCUAUUCCUAGGGUUCUUUCCCUUGAUCCGAUAAUGAUGUAUCCAGCUUAAAAACAGUGAGUCCUGCUUAUAAGGAAGAAAAAAAAAAAGUGGAAAUUUGCCAUGGAGUGGCUGUCCCAAAAUUGAAUUUCCAAACUCUGGGUGUGUGAGUUACUCACUACAACAAAUAUAUUUCUGAGCAUUGGCACUGUUGUAAACACAGGAUACGCUGGUGAACAAAACAUGCAAAGUAGUGGCCUUUCACAGGAUGGAUUCAGGACAGAUGCUCCUCAGCAAAUCAUCAGAAAUGGAUUCUUCUUCAACUUGGAGUGCAGCUCCCUUCCACUUCUUGUGAAUUGCACACCCUAUCAUGGCAGUCACGGCGCCUUUCCCAGUGAAAUCAUCCGCCUGAGUUCCCGAAUGGGCUCCCCAGGCCUGCCCUGAGGACCAGGUGCUGAACUCACCUUUCAGAGGUUGGCAUUCCAGGCUCCAGGGUUUGGGCUGUAGAAAGCUGUGGAAGUGCUAGCCUCAGAUCUGCUGCUCUUGGGGCAAGCAUGGAGCCUAAGGAAUCCCUGACAUAUGACAACAUGGCUAUGAAGUUCACGUGGGAGGAGUGGCAGCUCCCGGACCCCAAUCAGAAGGACCCGUACCCAGAUGUGAUGCCAGAGAACCAUAGCAACCUGGUGUCUUGUGGGGUGUCAAGCCUGCAGACCAGAUGCAUCCCCCAAGUUGGAACGAGGGGAAGAACUGUGGCCAAUAGAAGAUGAAAACCGCAGUUGAACCUGUUCAGCAUCUCUGACUAUUUCUUCCACCUCCUUUGCUACAAGAUUCUACCUUCCAGCUCUUACUCCAAAGAUCUUUGAAGGGACCUCCCUGGUGGCGCAGUGGUUAAGAAUCCUCCUGCCAGUGCAGGGGACACAGAUUCGAGCCCUGGUUCAGGAAGAUACCACAUGCCACAGAGCAACUAAGACCGUGUGCCACAACUACUGAGCCCACGGCUGCAACUACUGA